UAUGUGUAUAAUGUAUGUUAUACUGUAUAUACUAAUGAUAUAGGUUACUGUAAAAUGUGCACUGACUCUUGUUCCCUCUUCAUUUUUCCUUUUAUUAAACCGGGAGCAGCAACAGCAGCUGGGAAAGGAAGUUACCCAUCUUGAUGGCUUGAUAAAAAUAUGUAAAAAUGAACCAAUAUGUAUGAUAAGGAGAUUGGAACUGAACAAACUGCAAGAGGAGAGGAAGGGGAAGCAGCAACAAAUAGAUACCUGUUUGGAGGAAAUAGCAGAACUGAAAACUUGCAUCAAGAGGAUGAGCACAGAAAAUGGUUCUCUGUUGGAGAAAAUGAAAGUACUUCAGAAAGCCACAGACAAUAAGUCUCCCAGGUGUUGUUUCACAUUAGCUGUUCACAAGAAUACGGAAACUCUAACAAUUUCCUAGCACAGCUCUUUUGACUGGAUCAGAAAGCACCCAUUGCUUUGAUAGCUGUCAUGCGGCUACAUGCAUUUCCAUGCAAUGUGUUGCUGGGACAACCUUAGUGGAGGAAGAUAUAAGCAGAGUGAAAGAAAUGUAUAAACAGCUGUAAGACCUGAUUUUGUAUUUGUUGUUAUGAAAAUAAAUUAAGGGGCUUGGAUACAAUUUUCCCUCUGGAAAGUUCAUAGGGGAGUGAAACACAGCAAGGAACUCAGCAAGUAUAGAACUAGAACAGUGACAAUUUGGUGCAGCCAACUGUGUUUAUAAAAGUCUGGGGAGACAGGUAAAAUGGUGAUUAUUUACAUGAUAACAGUGACCAGUCCUGACAGGACUAUUGAUGUGAAAUGAAGUGGUGCAUAUGUUUUGGAGCUCUUGGGAAGGACUCCUGAAACUGUUUCAGGUGUCUAGGGCCAGGGCUGUGUCCUUAGGUGUGUUUGGGCAACACUUGGCACAAUGGGGCCUUGGUCUUCGGAGUCUCUUGAUUCCACACAACAGAAAAUGGCAAUUUGGACUUCUGGGAUUCAUGAGAUAGGGCCAUUUGCAAGCAAAGCUCUGCUUCAAUCCUAACUAUAAUUGCCAAGGUGUCAUAACAAAUAUUCAAACCAAUUUCCAUGGAAACCUCCGUUUCAUCUCUGAAUUUUAGUAUGCUUUAAGACAGCAGGAGUGGUAAAAAUCAUGUAGUGGUUAUAUGCAUGGAGAAAUGCUUAUUCCUUGCAUGAACUCUUUGUUGGCUCAAAUCUCUGUGUAUAUGAGAAAAUUAUGCGUGCAAAUUUAGAGGCUUUUAAAAAAUGUUAUCUCCCUUGUAAAAUGCCUGAAUCAGACUCACAUUUGGGUUUCAGUUUUCAUUUCCUCUCAGCAUAAAUAUGAGUCUGAGACACACAAUAGCUAAGUGAUUCCAGAGCAUACAGCAAUUUUAAACACAGAUCCUUUAAAAAAAGAGAAAUGAGAAACCUAACCUUCUACUUGAUAUUAUGCUAAUAAUGUACACAAGAAGGUGGUUUCUAGAAGAAGCAAUGCCGUACAUCAAAAGAACUCUCAAGAAUUGUGGAGUAAAUUUAGAAGACAGAAACUGAGAAACAGAAAACAGCUCAGAGAGACUUGUUAUCCAGCCAGAACAUGGGAUUUAAUGUAAUACUCCACAAAUAGGUUUGCUCCUGUGUCUAGAGGUCAGUGGAAACAUGAUUAGAUCUGUCCUAGAGAUGUUUAAACUUGGAUGCUUAACUCUGGUGCUAGGAAAGUGCAUGCAGAACCUCCUGAUUUCAGUGGGAGAUGAGCAUUGGCAUGAAGGGCAGCAACAAAGGCUCUUAGGAGGAGAGUUUUCGCUCAGGCCUUGUACCUUUAGGAUUUAUAAUGUCAGUGACAUUUCAUUUUUUUUGGUAGAGCUUGAUGCUGCUGAAAGCAUCUUUGCUUUAAUUUACAUUGAAUAUCAAGUAAAACUAGGUAACUUGUGUCACAGAUCUGACCAAACACUCCUUACUGGUGACUCAUGAGACUGCUGUGAGAUCAGCCAGCCUCUGAGUCUCCUGGGUGAUCUGAGCUCUCAAAUGGGCCUCUCAGCCAUUCUCAAGGUGCAGAUCUUCUGCCUUUUACUCCCUUGCUAGAGUGCAAAUGUGAAGUCUUAACUACCAGUGCCCUGAGCUAAUGUUGCCUGUGGGCAUGCAGAGGCUUCAGCUUAAGUGUUCAGGAGGAUGUAAUAGGUGUAGACAGACAAAUCGAGAGAGUCUUUGUGCAGAGUUUCUAAGCACACAUUACUGCUCUCAAUCAUGUGAGAAACACAGUUCAUUCAGAAAACAAGUGUAGAUUCUACGUGCAGUGCCCCUGAAUCAGCUCACCCUUCCUUAGGGGAUCCAUCUUAUGUCAGGUGACAUCUGGAUCUGCCUUAAGAAAAGGCCACUACUCUACCAGUUAAGUACAGUAUUAUGCCAUUUUUCCUCUGAUUAAAACUAUCCCCUAGGGUCAGAGUUGUAUUAGUGUGAGUACAUGUCGCUGGUGGAGUAUUUAAGUAAUUGACCCUCUAACAUUAACCCUUGUGUUAGUAAUUUAAGAGAAAGGAUGUAGCAUAAGCAUGUUCAGGGAUUUGUGCUGGCUCAAACAUGAUACAAUGUGUGCUGGCUCAAACACAAACUUUAACCCAAACACAGUCCAUCAAGGGUUAACUCCCAGGUCUGAGUCUCUUCAGAACCUGAGAAGGUGACUCUGGCUUGCUGCUGCAGUCUUCCAUCUCAGGCUGGCUCUGACUCAGUUCCCUGCCCUGGUAUCACUGGUAUCCCAAUCUCACAGCACUUAGGUCUCUUCCCAGACCCGGAGUAGUGUCUCUGAUCCCAUACUGAAGCCACUGGCCAGACUCUUACGGUCUGUUCAUCUGUCUGCCUCUGACUUUCUCUCCCUGAGAGCCUUUUAUUUCCUGUGGGCCAGCUAAUUAUCUCCCUCAGCUGGCCCAGUCCUUCUGAGCAGCCUGCAGUUGGUGUUACUGCUCACAACUGGGCUAGAGCCUCUGGCCCCGCAGCCUACUACAGUCUACCACAGAUAGCUGCAGGACAGGGUGGCACCUUUAAGGUUAGGCUGUACCCUAUGGAAAGCUUAUGCUUUUCUGAAGGAGUGGUACCACGCAGCCCCAUCUUUUGCCUUAGGAAUUUUACUAAAGGAUAGACAAAAAGACAGCAGGAAGGUAAAGACCAGCCUUACAAUGUAAAUGGAAUUUGCAUUGUGAUACAGGUGUGUUCAGGGUGCCUAAUCACCAACAGAAUUCUUUGAUUUCCCAAAUCUUCACAAAUAUUUUAAGUGAUCUUUCUGUUUUUCUCAGAAAUUUUCUGUUGCUGAGAACACAUCACUUAAGGUUACCUUACAUUUCAAUGAUAGAUGAAAUGAUACCCAUUGGUAGUGGAUAAAUGGAAAUGCAGUGCUUCGGUUACAAAUAAUAGACAUAUAGAAGCAUUUUUACAUAAAGAUAUGGAAUUAGAAGGGAUGUCUUGGGUCACUGAGUCCAGUUCCCUGCUAUUAUGGACAACUUUACAAUACUCUGUUUAUAGGCUGAUCAAGCACAGCCUUAAAGUGAAGGCAAGAAACCAAACUGUUUCCACUGGCAGGAUGUUCCAUAACCAUGCUGAUCUAAUGGUCAGAAAUCUUCCAGCCUGCAUUUAUUUAUGGGUAAUUUAUAUCCAUUUGUUUUUGUGCCAGCAUUGUCUUGUAGAUUAAGCAGCUCUUCUCUCUCCCUGGUCUUUACUCUCCUGACAUAUUCAUAGAGAGCAAUCUUAUCUCCUCAGCCUUUAUUUUGCUAGGCUAAAUAAGCCAACUGUUUUAGUGUCCUGUUGUGAAACAGGCUAAUCAUUACUCUUAUA